AGCGUACACGGUGGAUGCCCUGGCAGUCAGAGGCGAUGAAGGACGUGCUAAUCUGCGAUAAGCGUCGGUAAGGUGAUAUGAACCGUUAUAACCGGCGAUUUCCGAAUGGGGAAACCCAGUGUGUUUCGACACACUAUCAUUAACUGAAUCCAUAGGUUAAUGAGGCGAACCGGGGGAACUGAAACAUCUAAGUACCCCGAGGAAAAGAAAUCAACCGAGAUUCCCCCAGUAGCGGCGAGCGAACGGGGAGCAGCCCAGAGCCUGAAUCAGUGUGUGUGUUAGUGGAAGCGUCUGGAAAGGCGCGCGAUACAGGGUGACAGCCCCGUACACAAAAAUGCACAUGCUGUGAGCUCGAUGAGUAGGGCGGGACACGUGGUAUCCUGUCUGAAUAUGGGGGGACCAUCCUCCAAGGCUAAAUACUCCUGACUGACCGAUAGUGAACCAGUACCGUGAGGGAAAGGCGAAAAGAACCCCGGCGAGGGGAGUGAAAAAGAACCUGAAACCGUGUACGUACAAGCAGUGGGAGCACGCUUAGGCGUGUGACUGCGUACCUUUUGUAUAAUGGGUCAGCGACUUAUAUUCUGUAGCAAGGUUAACCGAAUAGGGGAGCCGAAGGGAAACCGAGUCUUAACUGGGCGUUAAGUUGCAGGGUAUAGACCCGAAACCCGGUGAUCUAGCCAUGGGCAGGUUGAAGGUUGGGUAACACUAACUGGAGGACCGAACCGACUAAUGUUGAAAAAUUAGCGGAUGACUUGUGGCUGGGGGUGAAAGGCCAAUCAAACCGGGAGAUAGCUGGUUCUCCCCGAAAGCUAUUUAGGUAGCGCCUCGUGAAUUCAUCUCCGGGGGUAGAGCACUGUUUCGGCAAGGGGGUCAUCCCGACUUACCAACCCGAUGCAAACUGCGAAUACCGGAGAAUGUUAUCACGGGAGACACACGGCGGGUGCUAACGUCCGUCGUGAAGAGGGAAACAACCCAGACCGCCAGCUAAGGUCCCAAAGUCAUGGUUAAGUGGGAAACGAUGUGGGAAGGCCCAGACAGCCAGGAUGUUGGCUUAGAAGCAGCCAUCAUUUAAAGAAAGCGUAAUAGCUCACUGGUCGAGUCGGCCUGCGCGGAAGAUGUAACGGGGCUAAACCAUGCACCGAAGCUGCGGCAGCGACACUAUGUGUUGUUGGGUAGGGGAGCGUUCUGUAAGCCUGUGAAGGUGUGCUGUGAGGUAUGCUGGAGGUAUCAGAAGUGCGAAUGCUGACAUAAGUAACGAUAAAGCGGGUGAAAAGCCCGCUCGCCGGAAGACCAAGGGUUCCUGUCCAACGUUAAUCGGGGCAGGGUGAGUCGACCCCUAAGGCGAGGCCGAAAGGCGUAGUCGAUGGGAAACAGGUUAAUAUUCCUGUACUUGGUGUUACUGCGAAGGGGGGACGGAGAAGGCUAUGUUGGCCGGGCGACGGUUGUCCCGGUUUAAGCGUGUAGGCUGGUUUUCCAGGCAAAUCCGGAAAAUCAAGGCUGAGGCGUGAUGACGAGGCACUACGGUGCUGAAGCAACAAAUGCCCUGCUUCCAGGAAAAGCCUCUAAGCAUCAGGUAACAUCAAAUCGUACCCCAAACCGACACAGGUGGUCAGGUAGAGAAUACCAAGGCGCUUGAGAGAACUCGGGUGAAGGAACUAGGCAAAAUGGUGCCGUAACUUCGGGAGAAGGCACGCUGAUAUGUAGGUGAAGUCCCUCGCGGAUGGAGCUGAAAUCAGUCGAAGAUACCAGCUGGCUGCAACUGUUUAUUAAAAACACAGCACUGUGCAAACACGAAAGUGGACGUAUACGGUGUGACGCCUGCCCGGUGCCGGAAGGUUAAUUGAUGGGGUUAGCGCAAGCGAAGCUCUUGAUCGAAGCCCCGGUAAACGGCGGCCGUAACUAUAACGGUCCUAAGGUAGCGAAAUUCCUUGUCGGGUAAGUUCCGACCUGCACGAAUGGCGUAAUGAUGGCCAGGCUGUCUCCACCCGAGACUCAGUGAAAUUGAACUCGCUGUGAAGAUGCAGUGUACCCGCGGCAAGACGGAAAGACCCCGUGAACCUUUACUAUAGCUUGACACUGAACAUUGAGCCUUGAUGUGUAGGAUAGGUGGGAGGCUUUGAAGUGUGGACGCCAGUCUGCAUGGAGCCGACCUUGAAAUACCACCCUUUAAUGUUUGAUGUUCUAACGUUGACCCGUAAUCCGGGUUGCGGACAGUGUCUGGUGGGUAGUUUGACUGGGGCGGUCUCCUCCUAAAGAGUAACGGAGGAGCACGAAGGUUGGCUAAUCCUGGUCGGACAUCAGGAGGUUAGUGCAAUGGCAUAAGCCAGCUUGACUGCGAGCGUGACGGCGCGAGCAGGUGCGAAAGCAGGUCAUAGUGAUCCGGUGGUUCUGAAUGGAAGGGCCAUCGCUCAACGGAUAAAAGGUACUCCGGGGAUAACAGGCUGAUACCGCCCAAGAGUUCAUAUCGACGGCGGUGUUUGGCACCUCGAUGUCGGCUCAUCACAUCCUGGGGCUGAAGUAGGUCCCAAGGGUAUGGCUGUUCGCCAUUUAAAGUGGUACGCGAGCUGGGUUUAGAACGUCGUGAGACAGUUCGGUCCCUAUCUGCCGUGGGCGCUGGAGAACUGAGGGGGGCUGCUCCUAGUACGAGAGGACCGGAGUGGACGCAUCACUGGUGUUCGGGUUGUCAUGCCAAUGGCACUGCCCGGUAGCUAAAUGCGGAAGAGAUAAGUGCUGAAAGCAUCUAAGCACGAAACUUGCCCCGAGAUGAGUUCUCCCUGACUCCUUGA
rnacentral:rRNA from 1 species